rnacentral:snoRNA from 1 species
CGGGCAACAUGAUGACGAUGACGUCCUCGCUCUUCCGUCUCUGCUGCUCGUCGUUGCGGCACCCUCAGGCCUUAGGCCACCUCGCCGUCACUAUCCCCAUCUGAUGCUCG